GAUAAACGCUGGCGGCGUGCAUAAAACAUGUAAGUCGAACGGGGUGAGGCCGCAAGGCCGAGCCCAGUGGCGGACGGCUGAGUAAUGCGUAGGUGACUUGCCCGAAAGUGGGGAAUAACGAUUCGAAAGAAUCGCUAAUACCGCAUGUGGUUGUGCGUAUAAUCGCGUGCAACUAAAGCUCGCAAGGGCGCUUUUGGAGAGGCCUGCGUCCGAUUAGCUAGUUGGUGGGGUAACGGCCUACCAAGGCUCCGAUCGGUAGCUGAUCUGAGAGGAUGAUCCGCCACACUGGAACUGAGACACGGUCCAGACACCUACGGGUGG
rnacentral:rRNA from 1 species